CCUACGGGUGGCAGCAGUCGAGAAUCAUUCACAAUGGGGGAAACCCUGAUGGUGCGACGCCGCGUGGGGGAAUGAAGGUCUUCGGAUUGUAAACCCCUGUCAUGUGGGAGCAAAUUAAAAAGAUAGUACCACAAGAGGAAGAGACGGCUAACUCUGUGCCAGCAGCCGCGGUAAUACAGAGGUCUCAAGCGUUGUUCGGAAUCACUGGGCGUAAAGCGUGCGUAGGCUGUUUCGUAAGUCGUGUGUGAAAGGCGCGGGCUCAACCCGCGGACGGCACAUGAUACUGGGAGACUAGAGUAAGGGAGGGGGAACCGGAAUUCUCGGUGUAGCAGUGAAAUGCGUAGAUAUCGAGAGGAACACUCGUGGCGAAGGCGGGUUCCUGGACAUUAACUGACGCUGAGGCACGAAGGCCAGGGGAGCGAAAGGGAUUAGAUACCCGGGUAGUC
rnacentral:rRNA from 1 species